CAAACAUUCAACAGGGAAAACUGAUAGAUCCUCUGAAGGCAACCAGCCUGGUGAUGAGGUUAACUACCCAGCAGUGAGUUUGGCUCCCAG